GUGGGGAAUCUUGCGCAAUGGGCGAAAGCCUGACGCAGCCAUGCCGCGUGAAUGAUGAAGGUCUUAGGAUUGUAAAAUUCUUUCACCGGGGACGAUAAUGACGGUACCCGGAGAAGAAGCUCCGGCUAACUUCGUGCCAGCAGCCGCGGUAAUACGAAGGGGGCUAGCGUUGUUCGGAAUUACUGGGCGUAAAGCGCACGUAGGCGGAUAUUUAAGUCAGGGGUGAAAUCCCGGAGCUCAACUCCGGAACUGCCUUUGAUACUGGGUAUCUCGAGUAUGGAAGAGGUGAGUGGAAUUCCGAGUGUAGAGGUGAAAUUCGUAGAUAUUCGGAGGAACACCAGUGGCGAAGGCGGCUCACUGGUCCAUUACUGACGCUGAGGUGCGAAAGCGUGGGGAGCAAACAGGAUUAGAAACCCGAGUAGUCC
rnacentral:rRNA from 1 species